GGGCUGCUUAGCAAAAAAACACAACGACAACAGCAAAGCGCCGGGACGAUACUUCGUCCCUUUUUCUUUUUUUUUUUCAUCGGUGAGCUGCCCGUGUGUGCGUAUGUGCGCACUCAGCACGUACGCGUUGGGUACAACGCCACCUCUCUGCUUGUACUUCCUUCGUCUUUUCGUUUUUUUUUUUCGUUGUGAGGUGCUCCUCUCUUCCUUUCAAUGUAUAUGUGUGUGCGUGUGUCUGUGUGCGUCGUGGUUUUACGUGCUCCGCUUUCUUCGCAAAUUGCUUGUGGAUGUCUAUGCUUGAGCCUGUGCGUGUAUUUGUAUGUGCAUAUAUGCUUGUAUGUGCGUGUUUCUGUUAGCAUGCAUUCGUUGUUGUCGCUUCCUUGUGUGUUGUAUGCGGCCUGUUCUCUCAUCCUCGUAUAAAGCAGUGACGCUCAUGUGCGAACUUGGCCCGUCUUUUUAGUGCUUUCUUGGUGUAUCAUCCCUCUUUUCCUCCCCUGUAUUGUCUUCAUGUGCGAGUGCAUCGUACACACACACACACACACACACACACACACACGUAAAUGCGUGGGACAGCGUUGUGUGAGAGUUCGAGAAACACAUAUGCAGAUAUCGUGGACAGAGAAAGCCGAGGUAGGCGGUGCGAGUAAGGAGUCAGGGCGAAAGACGAGCCGCCUCCGUCAGGGAUUUUCAUUUGUGGCUCCUUCCUGACAACGUAUGCUUCGCAUUUUUUUUCUCUGCCUCUGUGAGUGAUUUGGUAUGUGCUGCGGUCCCUCUCGACCUCAUGUACUUGUCGGUGACCACGGGCGACUCCUCCCUUUCCACUCACAUACACACACGCGCGUUUUGCCGAUCCAUUUAUAAGAGAGCUGCAGUGGCGGCGGCCGGAGGAGGCGGGGCAGCUGAGGAAGUCACGUGACGUAACAGCAAAGCAUAGAAGCACAAGAGCCAGCGCUAUCGGCACGGUAGAGUCAGCACGGUCACCGAGGGAAGGGGGCCUUCCAGCAUCGCGAACACCCACCACAAACAUGCAGGCAGUGCGCUUCGUUAUGUGAAUGGCGCAGCCGCGCACGCGUGCGUGCGUGUGUAUGCACUUGCUUCCUCUCUCCCUCAGCACCGAUAGCCGCGGUGAGAGCGAUAUGCGCCGUAUGUCUUCGGCUUCUUCUUUCACCGCUGUUGGAUUUGCACACGGCACGAUACACUCGCCGAUGCUUCACUUCUCCAUCGCCUCCCCCCACCCCCACCUCCUCUAUCUUCGGCUCUUUGAAUACCAUGCGCGUGUGGAAUGCGCCACCUUUCCCGUUCGAUCGAUAG
rnacentral:misc_RNA from 1 species